CGUGGGACGUAAAGCGCAUGCAGGCGGCCUGUUAAGUCAGAUGUAGAAACGGCCCGGGGACUUUAACCGUACGGUAAGUUGCUAUUUAGUAAACGUGGCGAGGCUAGAGUCUUGUAGAGGGGGGUAGAAUUUCAGGUGUAGCGGUGAAAUGCGUAGAGAUCUGAAGGAAUACCAGUGGCGAAGGCGGCCCCCUGGACAAAGACUGACGCUCAGAUGCGAAAGCGUGGGGAGCAAACAGGAUUAGAUACCCUGGUAG
rnacentral:rRNA from 1 species